UACAGAGGGUGCGAGCGUUGUCCGGAAUCACUGGGCUUAAAGGGCGCGUAGGCGGGCUAUCAAGUCCGGGGUGAAAUCCUCCAGCUUAACUGGAGAACUGCCUCGGAUACUGAUGGUCGUCGAGGGAGAAUAGGGGCAAGCGGAACUGUGGGUGGAGCGGUGAAAUGCGUUGAUAUCCAUAGGAACGUCCGGUGGCGAAGGGCGGCUUGCUGGAUCUCAGUCGUGACGCU
rnacentral:rRNA from 1 species